rnacentral:rRNA from 2 species
GAAGGGAUAAGUGCUGAAAGCAUCUAAGCAUGAAGCCCCCCUCAAGAUGAGAUUUCCCAUAGCGUAAGCUAGUAAGAUCCCUGAAAGAUGAUCAGGUUGAUAGGUUCGAGGUGGAAGCAUGGUGACAUGUGGAGCUGACGAAUACUAAUAGAUCGAGGACUUAACCAUAUAA